rnacentral:lncRNA from 1 species
GUGGCUUUGAAGUCCCCCCUCACAACUUCCCACAUUUCCUUCCCAGAUGAGUGACCCAACCAAGUGAAAAUCAUAGCCUAGUGCUGCAUACUCAGCUCUUGGACACAGCAAAUUGCUGCCAUUGCCCAAGAGACAUUGGGAAUGGGAGAAAAAGAGUUGUGAAAUGGGUACUGCGUGCUGAGGGCAGGAUCACCAUGGUGCUUUGGCCAGGUCUUCCAACCAGGAGUUCAAGGUGCCCUUGAACCAUGUGGAGAUGACCAUGUGCAUCCCUCCCUGAGCUCCCCCUGGGCCAAGCCCUUCCCACCAUGUUGGGUCUCCAUGGAGAAGACCAAGCUCUGAUCUGAUGAUGAGACUGCUCUGAUUUCUCCUACCUGGAAGCCAGCAGCCAAGGCAAUCUCAUUAAAUCAUGCCGAAUUGUGGAAGAAAUCCAUGGAAUGAAAUAAAUGGAGAGGGAUGGUGGCCAUCUCCUGUGGUCCUGAUCAUCAAAGCCAUAUGGUCAGGACUCCAAACCAGCCUCUCUUUUUCACCUUUGUACCACUGGCUUUGAAACAGAGCUGGUGGUUCUGGACUUGCAUCUCAGACCAACCCUCCUGGAGAAGACUCUUGGAUCUUUCCCUUCUUGUUAUUGACAGCCUGACUCUAUCUCUCUGCCUGCAAGGUGGAAGUUUUUCUCUUGCUACCGAGAGCUUCCUUCAUCUACCCAGGGAGAUAGGUGUUAUUUAUGCUUUCUAAAAAUAAAAAUCCUCAUUAAUUCCCAUUUUUGGUUUAUCAGUGCAUACUGCUUUCUUCAACUCCUUUUAAAGCAUGGAGCCUUUUCUUGGUGCUCAAGGUGUAAAGGCAGUGUGGUUUAGACCCUGCUCGCUUCCAUUGGGAUCUGCCUGCCCUUGGGAUCCUCCUGGCACCUGGGAUUCCCCCUGCACAUCACGCAGUGCCCGUGGCCUCCCCUCUCCGCUCACAUACACAGGAAGGAGCCCGGUCUCGCCCACCCGCAGCGAACUCAGCGGGUGCAGAGGGGCUGAGCCAGAGCUGCUGACUUCCUCCUGGGCCACGAGAGCACGGCAGCCUCAGGAGAUGUGCUGUGGGCAGCGCUGCUGGGGCCUCGGCUCCCUCCUCCUCCUGCUGCUGCUGCUGCUGCUGGGGCAAAACCUGGGUCUUCUCAUCGACAUCCCGCAGGAUGUGGUCAGUGGCACCGUGGGGCAGUCCGUGCUCCUGCCUGUCUCCUACAGAGUCAACAGCUCCCUUUGCUUCCCAAUGUCAAUUCUGUGGAAGCUUGGGAACAGCCCACAAGUGAUCAUCACCUGCACAGUGCAGAACUGCUCCCUGGAUGCUGAGGGAGCUCCCAAGAAAUGCUCUGCAGUAUGUUUCCCUCUUGCCACAUACCGGAACCGCAUUGAGGUCUUCCCCGAGAACGCAUCCCUGCUGCUGCGGGACCUGCAGCUCAGUGACAGCGGGGUGUACAGCGUCACCUUCCAACAACAAAAUCAAAUCAGAUGGAUCACCCUAGUUGUGCACAAUCAGCAUGUUCCCCCCGAGCAUCAUGACGAAGUACCAGACAGCGAGGAUCCAGGCAACACCCCUUACUACACAAUUGGAGCUUGCUCUUUUAUCGGCCUCUUUCUGCUGUUCCUGGCCCUCUGCAUGUGGCGAUGGGGUGCAGCGCGGCAGAAGAUGAGAACCACUACACAGCAGCAGGCCUCAAACACAGAGGACAUCCACAUGGAAACCACUGCAGUAGGGGACGUGGCAACCAUUUAUGCCACAGUUGGAGAAAACUUAGAAGAGACAAAGCCAAGAGCUUUACCAGAGACGGUCUACACAUCCGUAACCUUCCCUCAAGUGCCUUCUGCUUUGGCUCCGAACCGUGCAGGAGAUAGAUUUGCAGCAGAGCCAAGGUGAUGCUGUUGUCUGUCCCUUGUGACUGAACUCUUGGUGAGCCCACUCCUGCCCAUGGAGUGUUUAAGUGCUUGGAGUAACAGACUAUGGAAAUGCAUUAGUUUGCCUCAAAGCACGGUUUCUCUUGAAUUUGAGGGAUGAGAUGGUUUUAGUUUCAUCUUGAGACUUCCUGAGAGCACAAAGACACCGAAUGCAAGAGAAAGAUGCCAAAAGCAAAGGCAAAACAAUUCACCCAUCGACACACCUUAAUUUGAGGGGUAAUGGAGAACACUGAAUGUAUUUCAGUCUUCUGUCCCAGGGUCACUUACCAACUGCCUUGUCAUAUUAAAAGAAUGUAUGAAGAUUUUUGAACCUGGUGUCCUUGUUUUUAUGAGUAUGCCAAGUAAUACUUGAGCAAACCCUUCCUG